rnacentral:rRNA from 1 species
GUGCCAGACUCCUACGGGAGGCAGCAGUGAGGAAUAUUGGUCAAUGGCCGCAGGGCUGAACCAGCCAAGUCGCGUGAGGGAUGACGGUCCUAUGGAUUGUAAACCUCUUUUGUCGGGGAGCAAAAGCCGGACGUGUCCGUCUGUGAGAGUACCCGAAGAAAAAGCAUCGGCUAACUCCGUGCCAGCAGCCGCGGUAAUACGGAGGAUGCGAGCGUUAUCCGGAUUUAUUGGGUUUAAAGGGUGCGCAGGCGGAUUUUUAAGUCAGCGGUAAAAUCGUGGGGCUCAACCCCAUCCAGCCGUUGAAACUGGGGAUCUAGAGUGUGCGAGAGGUAUGCGGAAUGCGUGGUGUAGCGGUGAAAUGCAUAGAUAUCACGCAGAACCCCGAUUGCGAAGGCAGCAUACCGGUGCACAACUGACGCUCAGGCACGAAAGCGUGGGUAUCGAACAGGAUUAGAUACCCUUGUA